CCGGGCAGCGACGACGUCCCGGUCAAGCCCCUUCAGUCGUUGGCCCGAGGCCGACGUCGGUUUCCUGUGCUGAAUUCCUAACGUAUGGCAACCCUUCGUCCACCAACGUCCCGUACUCCUCCUUUCGCCUCGGCCCCCGCAAGGGGACGCGGCGCGGGGAGGACAUCAAGGCCCCCGUCGUGUCUCGCGACCCAGGCGCCCCGCUCGCACGGGCUCGCCGGGGCUGUCGAACCACGACGUCGUGCCCGAUCUCUCGGAUGCGGAAAACCAAGCGGCAACGAGGCCACGGCCUCCACUGCCCCUCACAAGAGCGUCCAACGCUCCCUGCGGACGACUGCCGGCCGGGUCUUGGCCCGGAGCCCCAGCGGCUCCCGGAUCAUGCCCGGGCGGCGUCGACGAGGAAUGCUACCUGGUUGAUCCUGCCAGUA
rnacentral:misc_RNA from 1 species